rnacentral:lncRNA from 1 species
CUUGAGUCACCCCUGGUCACCUGCUCUGUCCUGAGUCACCUCUGGUCACCUGCUCUGACCUGAGUCAUCCUGAGUCACCCUGAGUCACCUGUUGUGCCAAACUACUCACCCUGCCACUCCAACUCAUACCCCUGCUCUCUUUAAAAUAGCCAAUCGGAAUUAGCUUAGACUGUGAAGUCCAACCCUAGCCAAUAGGGGAACAACACAGCAGUAGAGGCUACCUGCAUCAGGAAUAAAAACCCCCUCCCCUCCUUUGUUCAGGUGUGCUCUCACCAUUGCCCCAUCCAUGAGUUACACCCUUCCACAGAAGUAAAAUUUGCCUUGCUGAGGAAAUUAAAUUUAUGUUUGAGUGCUAUUUCUUUUGCAGCACUGAAAAUUUAUUUCUAACAGUAGCCUCUAAUGCAUUUCACAAAUAGAAGGUAAUAUUACCACUAUUGGAUUAGAGUUUUCCCCUCAUUUCCUCCAUUUUCCUUGUUUCUUCCAUUUUCUAUAAGGAUUUUUUAAAAACAGUCUUAAGCAAAGUCUUCAUAAGAUUUGGGAAGUCAGACCUCACAUCACUGGGAUACUGGUCAGAGGACAGCCCUUGGAUGUCUUCUAGAGUCUCCAUUCCCUCCUUCGCAUGAGUCCUUUCUGUGAUUAGGGUAUGGCAGCAACAACCAAGAUGGGGGCUCUGAAAGGAGGGCAAGGGUUCAGGGGAGGAGAGCAUGGCCCCACAUGGAAUGCUGCCCUUGGUCACCCCAGCCCUCUCUCAAUUUCCCUCACAACCCACCAUCAGGAGCCUCAGAGUAGGCCAGCGUUUGAAACAAGUUUUCAGUGCCGCAAAAGAAACAGCACUCAAACAGAAAUUUUUUUCUCAGCAAGGCAAAUUUACUUCUGCAGAAGGGUGCAGCUGGCGCCAGACAUGAUCACAAGAGCACACUGAGUAGGGUGGGGCAGGAGUUUUUAUCCCUAAUGCAGCAGCUUCUGUAGCUGUGUCCUUUCCCCAUUGGCUGGAGUUGGACUGCACAAUCUAAGCUGAGACCUGACUGGCUACUGUUUAAAAUUGAACAGGGCUAACUAGGCAGGAAGGGAGAGGCUGUCCCUUACAAUUUUAGGGUGCAGUAAAGGCAGAAAGGAUAGUUGCAGAGUAGGGAAUAGAUGUGAGUUAUAGAUUAGGACUGAUGGGAAGAUUGUUUACCAUAAUUAGAGGCAAGGGGGCAUAAAGAACGAGGAAGUUACUCUUUGAAAAUAGAGAACAAAGAACAAGGAAGCUGAACAAGCUGACUCUUCUUUGAAGAGGAACCCACCGUACCCAACACCAGAAAGACUAUAACCUUGCUUUGAAGGCUGGGAGUCCAAGAUCCAGGUGUCAGCAGUGUUGGUAUCUCCUGUGGCCACUCUCCUGGGCUUGCAGACGGCGUCUUCUCCCUGUGUCCCCACAUGACCACCCUUCUCCACCUUAGCAUCCCCGGUGUCUCUGUGUGUCCGGAUGUCCUUUUCUCAUGAGGUGAGGACACAGUCAGAUUGGAUUAGGGCCCACCCUAAUGGACCUGUUUAAAGGCCCUGUCUCCAAGUACAGCCACAUUCUGAGAUACUGGGAGUUAGGGCUUCAAGAUACAAAUUUUAGAGAGGCCCACUCCAGCCCAUCACAAAGACAUAAGGGUGGGGGCCCCAUAAUGAAGACAGAGUUGGGUGGGGAGUAAUGACACAUGAAUAUGCCCCUUUUGUCAUCCUUUUAAAAAGUUGUAGAAGGAAUAAGUUAGGUCACAUAUGUAAAAGUUCAAUAAAAGGCCAUCGAAUAAGAAUUGGAACUCUAGAAAAUCUCCCAGGUUGUCUUUGUUGACAAACUGGUUUCUCUUUCUCUUCUUUCUACUAUUAUAACCCCAGGGAAGUGAACUUGACAUGGUUUAGCAACCAAAUAAAGCCAUACGUCACUGCUGCUCUUUGAAGAUAAUGAAAUCUGGCAUCGAGAUCUUUAUCUUUGCAGGAACCAAAGGCCAGAGACUUCUCAGCAAACACAAGUGGGUGUCUAGUAUCUGGGGCAAAGGACCGUGAGGCUGGAGAGAGAAACAGAAGGGAAGAAGGGUCCCUUACUGGCUGUCACAGGAAGCUGUGGGAUGCAGACACAUCCAGGGAAAGGCAGAGGCUGCCUCCAAGGCUACAUGACCUGCAGGCAGCCCCGGACCCCCUGGGGAGGACUCAGGUCUCCACUGAAGGGACAGCCGAACAGAGGGAAAUGGAAGUAGAGCCGUGGGGACUCCUGGGAGGGGGAAGAAGGCAUAGGAGGGGAGAGUGACCAGGGAGACAAGCCCCUCAAGGUCAGAGAGGGAAGCCAGUGGGUCCCCGAGGGUGGGGUCGUGCAGUGAAAUGUACUGUAGGAGGUGGGAGCAGGUGUUGGGAGCACGUGAAAGUCACAGCCAGCCUCAGGCAGCACCACUCAAGUCUAUCUCAGUUGCUUAUCUGGUCCAGAGAGGUUGAAAGGAUGGGAAAGCUUCAAGACUGGAUUCUUCGCAUCUGCUCUAUGACAGAGAAGGUUAGGACCAGAAAGUGGCCUCUGCAAACACAGCCAUUUAUAUGUUUGGACUACUGUGUUUGCUUUGAUUUUCCAGUUUCCUAAAUAAGAAAGGCUGCUGCUUAAGAGUCCAGUCUGAUCUCAACUAAGGGGAAAAGACAUUUGUUUCAUUUCCAUUAAGGGUGGGAUGUGGAGAGGGAUCAGUCCCUCUUUGGUGACACCCUAAGGCAGGUCCUGGGCAUCCAAUCAGCUCCUGAGCCAAGAGGGUCAGUAGAACUAGAUGCCAGGAUCCCAGAGCAGACACCAGAAACCAAGGGCUUCUGGGGCAAUCAACCCCCACCUGCUGCCUGAAAGGCUUCCUUUGCCCACUACUUUCCAGGACCAGAGAGAGAAGCAUCCCUGCUGAUGAGAAAGAACAGACACUCCCAGAGGACAAGGUCCACCUGUCAGGCAGCCACAGCCCAGCAUACUCUGGAGUCUGAGGUGGGGGUCAGUUGUGAAGAAAGGGAAGAAGGAAGAAAAAGGAUACGUUGUGCUCCGACCACAGGCCAAGGUUUGUCAUCUUUUGGUGGUAAGAUGGUUGCUCUACCUCAAGCUCACAAAAAGAAAUGGGGGAAAGCAGGAAAGAAGAAAAUCUGCUUCCCCAGAGACUCUGAGGCUGCACUUGCACAUCUUAUGGAUCCAAACUGUGUCCCAUGGCUGCCCCUAGAUGCAAGGGGCCUGGGGAAAUGAGCGGAUUCAUCAGGUACACUGCAACCGUACAUGAAAGGAAAGUUCUGUCAAUAAAGAAGAGCGAAAUCUACAUUUGGUCAGGAAACAGCAUUGCCUGCAAUAUGCCUCAUAUGAAAUAAAGCCUUUCUUGCCCCCAUUCUGCUACUCGGUCAUUCUUGCACUCAACAAAUAGAUGUUGAGUGCCCACUCUCUCCAGGCCAUGUUCUAGGUGCUGCGGAUGCAAUCCUGAAUCUAUGAACACGAUUGGCAGAACAAUAAAUAUUGAUUGUCUUGGCCACUCACCAAAUAAAGUGCUCCUGGGAAGGCUGAGAUCUAAUGCAAAGCAGCAGCUUGACUUUCUCACUCCCUGGCAACAAUGCCAAGCAAGAGAAAGCGAUGGGUAAGGCCUGGCUCAAGAGUCUCACUGCAACCUGCACUGUAGAUUCUACCUGCUAAUUUCCUCAGCCUUCUCUGGUUUUGGGCUUCAGAAUGCCCUAACUCUGGGC